CCUACGGGGGGCAGCAGUGGGGAAUAUUGGGCAAUGGAGGAAACUCUGACCCAGCAACGCCGCGUGAAUGAUGAAGGUCUUCGGAUUGUAAAGUUCUUUUCUAAGGGAAGAAGAAAGUGACGGUACCUUAGGAAUAAGCCUCGGCUAACUACGUGCCAGCAGCCGCGGUAAUACGUAGGAGGCAAGCGUUAUCCGGAAUGACUGGGCGUAAAGGGUGCGUAGGUGGUUUGACAAGUUGGUAGCGUAACUCCGGGGCUCAACCUCGGCACUACUACCAAAACUGUCGGACUUGAGUGCAGGAGGGG
rnacentral:rRNA from 1 species